GCUUACGGCCAUACCACCCUGAACACGCCCGAUCUCGUCCGAUCUCGGAAGCUAAGCAGGGUCGGGCCUGGUUAGUACUUGGAUGGGAGACCGCCUGGGAAUACCAGGUGCUGUAAGCC
rnacentral:rRNA from 15 species